CAGCAGCCUCAUGCUAAAGUACAGUAACUGCAGCACAGUCUGAGUGCGUUAUUGCGCAAAUGUUCAGUGAUUGCCAUAACACAGUGGCUCCCAGGGCUGGAGCCGCACCCCCCCCCCCCCCCCCCCACCCCACCCAAGCAGUUUUAGGCAAAAAAACAAGUUUCAUUUUAGUAGGAAGUGAAAUGAAAGAGAAAAAUGAAAGGAGCUUGGGUCAUUGGUUUCACUCUGCCCUCUCUUACCUCCGUACAUGAAGCUCUCCCAUGUACUCCCGCAUGGGGUUAUAUCUCUACCAGCAAAGCCUUUCACGUCUCCAUGAAGGAAAAGGUGAAAAGCUCUUCCUGUCACAUGGAUUAAAGGCGGCAACCUAUCUUUUGGCAGCAGAUUGAAGGUUGUGCACCAGUCCCUGACUCUGCAGAUGCCAGCACUCUUAAACCCUUUGAUGUCACCCAUCAUUGUACCUUCUACAAGAACCCUUCAAAUAGAAAAAUACUUUUUUUUCUCCCCCAUUUACAAAGCCAUUCUUGUAUAUAUUAUGACUUUUAAGGUUUUAAAGUUUAGGUUAGAGUGCACAGCAAUGCAUUACCUUAGAUAUCUCUCUUGUGACUGUUAUUAUUAAGCGGUCUUGGGUGAGACAAGUAUGUCAUUGUAUGUUUAAGCUCAUGUUCUGUGAUGUUUUAUAAAAAUGAAUGCUCCUGCUUUUCCUUUUGUGUCACCUUGUUCUUGAUUUUUUUUUUAUUAUAAUUAUUUUAAAUCUUACAUAUAUGUGUGUUUGAAUGUAGAAAUACAUUUCUGCAUAUAUUCACAGCCUUAUCUUGACAGACUGCUAGUAUCAGAACUGUGCAAAGCCACUUUUAAACACUGAUCUGUUUUUUUAUUAUAUAUAUAUACAUAACUUUUAUUCGGCAUUCUGUAAUGUACAUUUUAUCUCUGUGUCCUUUUCUUGGUUGUAUUUCUAUCCCUGAGAGAUGCCAAACAACAUUUCAGAGUACCUGAGCAUAGUUACACUAUAGAUGAUUUAUAUUUUAUGUAAUUUACAUUGAUUUGCCCCUGACUAAAUAAAGGUUUCUAUAAUUACUUGGACAUGAUCACAAUUUCAGCCACCUCUGAUUUAGUUUUAAUUAGAAUAAUGCACGUGAACAAACAACAAAAUAAAUAAAUAGCGUCCCUAGUGUUUAGUUUAAUAAUGAGUGUAUUUUUUUUAUUCCUCGUACACUCGCAUGUUUCUUGAUUAAGUUGUGUUCAUCAGCAUUCGUUUAUUUAUUUGUUAAUAAUUCACAAACAACGUGAUCUCAUUUGUUGUACGAGCAGCGCUGGAAUGUGUUCGCUGCGGCGCGUGCUGGCCGGGGAGGAAUGCCUUGACCACGCCUCCCCUCCUCCCUGG
ensembl:lncRNA